GAGAUUUUUGCUGGAGAUUCCUGCAUGCCUGAAGUCUCUAAUGAUUCUUUAACAAUGUAAAGGAGGUAUCUUUCAUCUGAUUCCUAAGUGAAUAAGAAACUUGAAGGAAACAGGAGGGUAGCAACAAGGCAUCUUCUUGAAUCUCUCAUUUUCCUGAACAAGUGCAAUGAUGAGAGAUCUUGUUGGACACAGAAGAGAAGAGAGACAAUAUUUGUCUGGAGAGAGGCAACCUGGCACAACUGGUGGCUGUUGAAGAAAAAAACUAUGGAUUAUGGAACAAUACUUCAUCUGUGAUUUGAUAUUUUCUGUUCUGCCUAUUGCCUUAGCUGAAUUUUGCCAUGCUUUUCCUGAGUCUGUGGGACUCGGAAGGAGCAUGGAAUGGUUGAUUCACCUGCUGAGCAGAGGUGAUGCUCUAGAGCCAAGGUGUGCUGCUGAGAUAAAAUCAAACACUUGUAGAAUGGCAGAUUGCCUGCUGCUCUGGUCCAGCAGGGAUUUCCUGCAUAGGAUGUAAGAGGAACUGAGGAACUGAAUCCUGAGUGUGGUAAUGGAGGUCCUAGAAAAGGGGGUGAUGAUGGCAGAUGGCAGUUUUUUUUAG
rnacentral:lncRNA from 1 species